rnacentral:rRNA from 1 species
GACGAACGCUGGCGGCGUGCCUAACACAUGCAAGUCGAGCGGAGACAGUGAGUAGCUUGCUAUGAGCUGUUUUAGCGGCGGACGGGUGAGUAACGCGUGAGCAACCUUUCCCAGACAGGGGAAUAACACACCGAAAGGUGUACUAAUACCGCAUAAGACCACGGGAUCACAUGGUUCUGGGGUAAAAGAUUUAUCGGUUUGGGGUGGGCUCGCGUCCGAUUAGGUAGUUGGUGAGGUAACGGCCUACCGAGGCGUCGACGGGUAGCCGGUCUGAGAGGACGAACGGCCACAGUGGGACUGGAACAUGGUCCACAGCCCUACGGGGUUUAGCAUGGAGGAAUCUUGCGCAACGGCCUGGCGGCCGGCGCAGCAACGCCGCGUGGGGGACGAAGGCUCUCGGGUCGUAAACCCCCUGUUGUCCGGGAAGAAGUACCGCCGGGGGGAGCCCGGGCGGGGAGACGGUACCGGACGAGGAAGCCCCGGCUAACUACGUG